UUCCACCAGCGACACCACCUCUGAUCUCGUCAACCUCAGAUCCAGGUUUGUUAACGUCAAAUGAACGGAUUACUAUCAUGUUUGGAGGUGAUAUGAAGUUUCUCUCAGGAAUGGGAAUCCGCUUGAUUAUGUAUUCGCAAACAACAUCAAUAUUAUACCUAAGCUGAGCAGACACUGGGAUGACUGGUGCACCAUCAGCAACCAUAACCUGAAUGAAUUUCUGAAUUGCCUCGUGUUGAUUAAUGGCUACAUUUUCUUGAAUUAGAUCAACCUUAUUUUGAAGGAUUAUGAUAUGUUGGAGCCUCAUGAUUUCCACAGCAGCCAAGUGUUCAGAAGUUUGAGGUUGGGGACAGCUU
rnacentral:lncRNA from 1 species